rfam:Microbispora rosea strain ATCC 12950 genome assembly, contig: Ga0104720_115
UCAAUACCCCGCGGGAGCUCGGGCGUGACCGGGCUGAGAGGGCGGAUCGAACUCGUGCCGCCGACCGCAUGAACCUGUCCGGAUAAUGCCGGCGUAGGGAGCGUGUGAUGACUUCUGC